AACGUUCAGCGUACUUUUCAACGCGUUCCGAAAAGGUAGCACUGAAAAGAACAAUCUGAGUGUUUCUAGGAAGAAGGUGCUUGAUACGCAUAGAUUGAUCUCCUAAUCCUUGCUGAUCUAACAUGUUGUCUGCCUCAUCUAACACGAAUACUUUAAUAUCGCGAGCGUCAAGCUGUCUUCUCUUCAUCAAAUCCAUCACAGUGCCAGGCGUUCCGAUUACAAUUUGAGCAUCGAUUUUUGCACCUUUAGGGACGGAGUCUUUAAUACCAAAAGCUGUUUUUACUUCAGUAUAUUUGCCCAUCUCCGUCACGACAUCCAUAAUCUGACGGGCCAAUUCACGAGAAGGAGCGAGGCAGAUAGCUUGAGGUUUGGGAACAGAAGCAUCAACACGAGAAAGCAUCGUUAAUGCAAAUGCAGCGGUUUUACCAGUUCCGGAUUGUGAUUGUCCGAUCAUAUUGCGAGGAGGAUUUGAGAGUAAAAGUGGAAGCGCCUUCUCUUGAAUUUUUGAGGGUUUUUGGAAUUUCAUUGAAUAAAUUCCCUUUAAUAAUUCGGGCUUGAGCUCCAACUCUUCAAAACUUUUAACAGAAAAAAGAGGUGAGUUUGGAUCAGCCUGUAGAUCUGCUAAUUUUACACGAACCUCGUUUUUAUUUGGUAUUAAAUUAGAUUCAUCAUUUUCAGAUUGCUUCGUAUUGGCGUCCUCUGCAAUCGUGUUGGUCGCUUUGUCUUGCUCAGAUUUUGCAUCAACAUUCUCAGUGAUUUUUGGACCUAAUCUGUCACUUAAAUUUGUUGCUUUUUGAUCUUCAUUUUUAUUUUCUGAAGUAUUUAACUGAUUGACUUUAUCACUAAUUCUUUGAACCUCUUCAUCAGAGUCCAAACUAGCCCAGUCAGUUUUGCUUUCCUGUCCCAGUGUAGUUGACAUUUUGGAUGUUUUUUAGUAAAAAAAAUAAAAAAAAUCAAAUUUAUAGUUCAGAUAUCCAAACUCAGCAAGGAUGACUUAGCAAACUGGAUGA